AUUGAACGCUGGCGGCAUGCCUUACACAUGCAAGUCGAACGGCAGCACGGGUGCUUGCACCUGGUGGCGAGUGGCGAACGGGUGAGUAAUACAUCGGAACAUGUCCUGUAGUGGGGGAUAGCCCGGCGAAAGCCGGAUUAAUACCGCAUACGAUCUACGGAUGAAAGCGGGGGACCUUCGGGCCUCGCGCUAUAGGGUUGGCCGAUGGCUGAUUAGCUAGUUGGUGGGGUAAAGGCCUACCAAGGUGACGAUCAGUAGCUGGUCUGAGAGGACGACCAGCCACACUGGGACUGAGACACGGCCCAGACUCCUACGGGAGGCAGCAGUGGGGAAUUUUGGACAAUGGGCGAAAGCCUGAUCCAGCAAUGCCGCGUGUGUGAAGAAGGCCUUCGGGUUGUAAAGCACUUUUGUCCGGAAAGAAAUCCUUGGCUCUAAUACAGUCGGGGGAUGACGGUACCGGAAGAAUAAGCACCGGCUAACUACGUG
rnacentral:rRNA from 1 species